rnacentral:lncRNA from 1 species
GGAGUAUUCUCCCAUACAUGAAAAUCUUAAACGACUCCUGUGACUUCUCUUACAGUGAACAUCUGAUACUGCUGGUUUUUAAGAAAAAAAUUUUAAAUUAAUGUUGAGGUAGGACAGGCAUGGAGGUCUAAAGACACGUGGCGAAAUACACAGUGCUUCUGAAAUCUGCUGAUGAAUGAAAGGUGGUGUGAACCACAGCCUACAAGCUGCAGAAUGUCUAGAGACUGAGCCAGCGAGGGCGGCAGUGCAGCCAAACUUGGAGUGCAGAGCCUUGUUCCUCAUGCCCUGACAACAGGACUUUCAAGUUCUGCACUGGAAAUUUGCAUCCCCAGGCUUGGAUAUGUCUCUGACCCAAGAGAGGUGCUCAGAGGAGAGAAGGAAGCUUAAUGAGAUUAAUGCCUAGUCUGGUAAGUCUCCAUGUGACUCCUUGUGUUGACCCCAACCUAGUUAUUGCUGUGAAGGAACAAGCUUUGUAUGAUCA